UGAGGCAGGAGAAUUGCUUGAACCCAGGAGGUGGAGGUUGCAGUGAGCCGAGAUUGUGCCACUGCACUCCAGCCUGGGUGACAGAGCGAGACUCCAUGUC
rnacentral:miRNA from 1 species